rnacentral:lncRNA from 1 species
CAGAGAUGGGUGGCUUAAACCACAGAAAUUUGUUGUCUUACGGUUCUGCAGACCAAAUGUCCAAUAUUAAGGUGCAAGCCUGGCUCUGGCCCCCUUCUCUCCAGCAGCAUUCCCCCCCCCCUUUCAGGCCGGAGCUCAUCACGUGGGGAUCUUGUUACAAUGCAGCUUGUGGUGCAGAGGGUCCAAGGUGGGCCCAGGCAUCGUUCGUGCCUUCAGCCGCGAGGGCCUGUGGGAGGACGGAAGCCCCGUUGGAGAUGCUGCCAAGGUAUCAUUCUUCCAUUUAGGAGCUCCGGGCUCGGUGGGCUUCCCAGGUUAAGAGGAGAGGGUGCCUCUCUCGGCUACAGCCGGCACCUUAACUUUCAGUAGCUCCUGUAUUCAUUAGUAAGGGUU